UUGUGGAGGAGGACGCCGAAGGUGGGGCUAAUGACUGGGGUGAAGUCGUAACAAGGUAGCCGUACCGGAAGGUGCGGCUGGAUCACCUCCUAACAGGGAGACAACAAAAUGUUUAUAUUAUUAUUUUGUCACCUUAGGUCGAUCGGUAUCUCACAUUCUCGAUUUAUUGAGGAUUUCAUUUCCUAAGUUUUUCUAGGUCACACCCAUUAUUUUUCCUGGGCCAUUAGCUCAGGUGGUUAGAGCGCACCCCUGAUAAGGGUGAGGUCCCUGGUUCAAGUCCAGGAUGGCCCAUAUCUCUAUGUUGGGGGUAUAGCUCAGUUGGUAGAGCGCCUGCUUUGCAAGCAGGAUGUCAGCGGUUCGAGUCCGCUUACCUCCACUGAUCGAUUUCCUCAUUAGAACUUGAAGGAGAUUAUCUUUGCUAGAUCAGACUUAGAUUUUUGUUCUUGAUGAAUCAGAACCUAGCUUCUUGUUAUUCACUCUCUGAAGAAUAUUAGAGAUGGUUGUUAAUAAGACGCUGGGCUCACUGUAAUCAAAUGAUUGCAGUUCUGUUCAGCAGAACCUUGACAACUGCAUAGGUGAGUCUGGAAAGAAUAAAGCAUCUCAUGGAUGCAUUGUUCUAAUGCUAAAAGCUAAUGAUAUUAGCUUUUAGCCGAGAAUGAUGUUUAAUUCUUGAGUCAAGAGCCGAGACUCUAUGGAUUUUUUGUAUACUUUAAACAUUUAAAAGUGUUUGAUUUACAAGGAUUUAUAGAGAUUUUAUGGUCAAGCUACAA
rnacentral:misc_RNA from 1 species